UACGAAGGGGGCUAGCGUUGCUCGGAAUCACUGGGCGUAAAGCGCACGUAGGCGGCUUUUAAGUCAGAGGUGAAAUCCUGGAGCUCAACUCCAGAACUGCCUUUGAUACUGGAGAGCUUGAGUCCGGGAGAGGUGAGUGGAACUGCGAGUGUAGAGGUGAAAUUCGUAGAUAUUCGCAAGAACACCAGUGGCGAAGGCGGCUCACUGGCCCGGUACUGACGCUGAGGUGCGAAAGCGUGGGGAGCAAACAGG
rnacentral:rRNA from 1 species